rnacentral:rRNA from 1 species
GUUAAGCGACUAAGCGUACACGGUGGAUGCCCUGGCAGUCAGAGGCGAUGAAGGGCGUGCUAAUCUGCGAUAAGCGCCGGUAAGGUGAUAUGAACCGUUAUAACCGGCGAUACCCGAAUGGGGAAACCCAGUGUGAUUCGUCACACUAUCAUUAACUGAAUCCAUAGGUUAAUGAGGCGAACCGGGGGAACUGAAACAUCUAAGUACCCCGAGGAAAAGAAAUCAACCGAGAUUCCCCCAGUAGCGGCGAGCGAACGGGGAGGAGCCCAGAGCCUGAAUCAGCAUGUGUGUUAGUGGAAGCGUCUGGAAAGGCGCGCGAUACAGGGUGACAGCCCCGUACACAAAAGCGCAUGUGCUGUGAGCUCGAUGAGUAGGGCGGGACACGUGGUAUCCUGUCUGAAUAUGGGGGGACCAUCCUCCAAGGCUAAAUACUCCUGACUGACCGAUAGUGAACCAGUACCGUGAGGGAAAGGCGAAAAGAACCCCGGCGAGGGGAGUGAAAAAGAACCUGAAACCGUGUACGUACAAGCAGUGGGAGCCCCACCACUAAGCCAGUGGUGA